CCUACGGGAGGCAGCAGUGAGGAAUAUUGGUCAAUGGGCGCGAGCCUGAACCAGCCAAGUCGCGUGAGGGAAGACGGUCCUAUGGAUUGUAAACCUCUUUUGGCGGGGAGCAAAAGACGCCACGCGUGGCGUUCCGAGAGUACCCGAAGAAAAAGCAUCGGCUAACUCCGUGCCAGCAGCCGCGGUAAUACGGAGGAUGCGAGCGUUAUCCGGAUUUAUUGGGUUUAAAGGGUGCGCAGGCGGAAGAUCAAGUCAGCGGUAAAAUUGAGGGGCUCAACCUCUUCGAGCCGUUGAAACUGGUUGUCUUGAGUGAGCGAGAGGUAUGCGGAAUGCGUGGUGUAGCGGUGAAAUGCAUAGAUAUCACGCAGAACUCCGAUUGCGAAGGCAGCAUACCGGCGCUCAACUGACGCUCAUGCACGAAAGUGUGGGUAUCGAACAGGAUUAGAUACCCUGGUAGUC
rnacentral:rRNA from 1 species